UACGUAGGGGGCGAGCGUUGUCCGGAAUCAUUGGGCGUAAAGAGCGUGUAGGCGGCUCGAUAAGUCUGCUGUGAAAGUCCAGGGCUCAACCCUGGAAGGCCGGUGGAAACUGUCGGGCUAGAGUCCGGAAGAGGCGAGUGGAAUUCCCGGUGUAGCGGUGAAAUGCGCAGAUAUCGGGAGGAACACCAAUGGCGAAGGCAGCUCGCUGGGACGGUACUGACGCUGAGACGCGAAAGCGUGGGGAGCAAACAGG
rnacentral:rRNA from 1 species